GUCACAUUGCUCCCUGGAGAAGACAGCACUGUCCCCUCCCAAACCCCUCUCACUGCCAUCAGUAAGUUAGUGAUGCUUUGUGUCCCAAAGAGCUCUUAGCAGUAACUGAGAAAAUGCUCGUGGAAAUGCGCUGGAAAACUCAGCCCGGCAGCCUCAGAAAGCACAGAAACCACACAGCUUUCUGCCGUUGGAGCCUCCACCUCUGAGCAAGACCAGCUUGAAUUCUGAGAUUUGUCACCUCUUAUUUCUUUGUGACAUAUUUGGGGAUAUGCACAGACCAAAUCUUACAACGAAAUCAAACAUCUGUACUCGGGUUCAUUUCUUUAUGCGGACAGCACGGCUCAGUGGUGCUCAGCGCACAGUCCCGUCCCAGCAAAUGGAAGCCUCAGAACACUGGCGGUUCAGCACAGUGACAUCAAGCGUGGUUAUUCUCCAGCAUCAUCCAAACUGUCUGGCUCCAGAGCCAAAAUGUGAGUGUACCAUUCUUGGAAGUAGGACUGUUCCCUUCCGUUUAGAUGCUGUGUCUAUGACCCCUGUGUCUCAGAAGUAAUUGUUCAGUAGAGGGUAGCCUCUAGACUUUUAUAUACUGCACCACUUAUUGGACCAUGACCUGCAUGUGGGUCUUCACUGAAGAAUACCUCAUGUUUUCAUCAUGGUCGUAAGUGCCUCAAAUUCACACCUCUACAUGCUUGUUGAUUAAAUGAU
rnacentral:lncRNA from 1 species